rnacentral:rRNA from 1 species
GACAGAGGGUGCAAACGUUGCUCGGAAUCACUGGGCGUAAAGCGCGUGUAGGCGGGCUCUCAAGUCAGGUGUGAAAUCCCCGGGCUCAACCCGGGAACUGCAUCUGAAACUGGUUGCCUAGAGUGUCGGAGAGGGAAGCGGAAUUCCGGGUGUAGAGGUGAAAUUCGUAGAUAUCCGGAGGAACACCGGUGGCGAAGGCGGCUUCCUGGACGACUACUGACGCUGAGACGCGAAAGCGUGGGGAGCAAACAGG